GGCGUGCUUACACAUGCAGUCGCAACGAUGAAGCCCAGCUUGCUGGGUGGAUUAGUGGCGAACGGGUGAGUAACACGUGAGUAACCUGCCCUUGACUCUGGGAUAAGCCUGGGAAACUGGGUCUAAUACUGGAUAUGACUUCUCACCGCAUGGUGGGGGGUGGAAAGAUUUAUUGGUCUUGGAUGGACUCGCGGCCUAUCAGCUUGUUGGUGAGGUAAUGGCUCACCAAGGCGACGACGGGUAGCCGGCCUGAGGGGGUGACCGGCCACACUGGGACUGAGACACGGCCCAGACUCCUACGGGAGGCAGCAGUGGGGAAUAUUGCACAAUGGGCGCAAGCCUGAUGCAGCGACGCCGCGUGAGGGAUGACGGCCUUCGGGUUGUAAACCUCUUUCAGUAGGGAAGAAGCGAAAGUGACGGUACCUGCAGAAGAAGCGCCGGCUAACUACGUGCCAGCAGCCGCGGUAAU
rnacentral:rRNA from 1 species